GACGAACGCUGGCGGCGUGCUUAACACAUGCAAGUCGAACGAAGAGCGAUGGAAGCUUGCUUCUAUCAAUCUUAGUGGCGAACGGGUGAGUAACGCGUAAUCAACCUGCCCUUCAGAGGGGGACAACAGUUGGAAACGACUGCUAAUACCGCAUACGAUCUGACCUCGGCAUCGAGGAUGGAUGAAAGGUGGCCUCUAUUUAUAAGCUAUCACUGAAGGAGGGGAUUGCGUCUGAUUAGCUAGUUGGAGGGGUAACGGCCCACCAAGGCGAUGAUCAGUAGCCGGUCUGAGAGGAUGAACGGCCACAUUGGGACUGAGACACGGCCCAGACUCCUACGGGAGGCAGCAGUGGGGAAUCUUCCGCGAUGGACGAAAGUCUGACGGAGCAACGCCGCGUGAGUGAUGACGGCCUUCGGGUUGUAAAGCUCUGUUAAUCGGGACGAAAGGCCUUCUUGCGAAUAGUUAGAAGGAUGACGGU
rnacentral:rRNA from 1 species